rnacentral:lncRNA from 1 species
AUUAAAAUGUUUAAGGUAAAGACCAUGAUUUUCUUUGUAUGGUAAAUUGGAAAUUGUUGUUGCAAUAUAAACCCACUUUAAAAGUCUUCGAAGGUUGAAAAUCCGUAUUUUAAAAUUCUGACGCCACUCCUUAAAUCUGUCUUCCUAAUAAGAUCGAAGAGGCAUGUAGUUAAUACACAGAGUAUUUUAUUUUGUAUAAUUAUUUGUAUCACAAAACUAUGAUUUUUUUACUCUAGUACUACUAGUUUUAUAGGCCAAAGCUAAAACACAAAAAUAUAGAUGAGCAGAAAUGGAAUAUUUAGGUGUUAUUAACAAUGACUUUUUAUUGCCUUGGUACUGUUUUUGUAGCAUACUUACCUCGAUUGCGACAGUUUGAGCGUUCGAACUCUUCCAAGAUAAAAUCAAAAGCAUGGAUAGAAUGACAGGUUCAACAUUUAUCUUAAUCCUUAUACAAGGCAUGCGCUACAGGCGGCAGAAAAUUUAUGUUAUUUGGUUUUAUGUAUUCAUAAGUAUCGAGAUAAGUAGAUACUUCAGAAAAGUGUGAUAUUGUCGCUAAUCAGGACGGACUCCUCUCAAAAACCAAUUAGGAAUGAAUUAAGAUAUGUCAUAAUGAAAAACAGUCACAAUACAAAUGAUAUGGUUCAUUUAACUCAUAUGAAACUUGUAUUUCUCAUUUUGAUAUUAAUUGAUGAAAUAUAGAAUUAUGAUGUAGAACAAUUCAGUACAGAGUAUAUAACCUUCUAGCAUGAUAUGAACUUAAUAUAAUUAUGACACCUGUUUGAAAUUGUCGCCAACAGACCCCUUACUUGUUGUUGAACCCAUCCUAACGUUGAUAUCAUGAUCGCUAUAUUUACUAUUUAAUCAGGGCAGCCCAUCUUCUCCAUUUAGACCGUUAACACAGCUCAGUCAUCUUUCUCCAUUUAAACUCUGCUCAAAAAAGAUUAUUAUUUUUAGAUCCCGUUCACCCACAUUUUUCUUCCUCUGGACCUCUUGCGCCAUAUGUCUUCCUAACAUAUUUCAAUCAAUUGAACCUAAUUUUCCAAUAUUUGCUCUGCCAUAUUUUUGUCUUUAUACUUAUUGUUUGUUGUGUCGUAUAAGACUUUCAAUCCGAUUUGUCUCAAGUGUUAAUUCUAACUUUAUGUCUCUUUGAUUCUCUUGCCUGUUCAUUAUCACAAACGUUUUCUUAAAAAUGGUUACACCCUUUCGUCCCUUUACAUCUUUUUUUUUCUAAUGACAUUACAUUUUCAAAUUG